UGCUUCCUAAUAUAGAGCAGCAUUUUAUGAUAGAUAGGUGUUGCUUGUUGCAAGAGGCUGUUGCCUGCUCUGCUGUCUCUUCUCAUUCCCAGUAACCAUUAGUCACUCUUCACCAAUCUUCGA